rnacentral:rRNA from 1 species
CAGCCGUAAACAAUGUGCGUUAGGUGUGUCGGUAACCACGUGUUACUGAUGCGCCGAAGAGAAAUCGUGAAACGCACCACCUGGGAAGUACGGUCGCAAGGCUGAAACUUAAAGGAAUUGGCGGGGGAGCACCACAACAGGUGAAGCCUGCGGUUUAAUUGGAUUCAACACCGUAAAACUCACCAGGGAAGACUGUUACAUGAAAGCCGAGAUGAAGACUCUGCUAGAUUUUCAGAGAGGUGGUGCAUGGCGUCAGUGACU